rnacentral:rRNA from 1 species
AUGGGCUUGUGGAUGCUGCUGGAGGGUUUUUUGCUUCUUGCAAAUUCUUUGGCGAUCCUGAAUGAAGACCGCUUUCUUGGCCCCAGGGGAUGGAGCAUGUCUGAAGUUUCAGGAAACGGGCAAACAAAGUCGUUGAAGGGGCAGAUUGUGGGGCUCAUCUACGCCACUCAGUUUUUGCGGAUGCCCUUGAUAGCGCUUAAUGUUCUUAUCAUUGUUGUGAAAAUGGUGUCAGGCUGA